AUUGAACGCUGGCGGCAGGCCUAACACAUGCAAGUCGAACGAGUGGCGGACGGGUGAGUAAUGUCUGGGAAACAGCCCGAGGGAGGGGGAUAACUACUGGAAACGGUAGCUAAUACCGCAUACCAUCGGAUGUGCCCAGAUGGGAUAAGCUAGUAGGUGGGGUAACGGUGCAAUUAGGCGACGAUCCCUAGCUGGUCUGAGAGGAUGACCAGCCACACUGGACAUGAGACACGGUCCAGACUCCGACGGGCGGCAGCAGUGGGGAAUAUUGCACAAUGGGCGCAAGCCUGAUGCAGCCAUGCCGGGUGUAUGAAGAAGGCCUUCGGGUUGGAAAGUACUUGCAGCGAGGAGGCGUUACUCGCAGAAGAAGCACCGGCUAACUCCGUGCCAGCAGCCGCGGUAAUUC
rnacentral:rRNA from 1 species